GACGAACGCUGGCGGCGUGGAUUAGGCAUGCAAGUCGAACGGUAUCAUCCUUUCGGGGGUGAGAGAGUGGCGAACUGGUGAGUAACACGUAGGUUAUCUACCCUCAAGACGGGGACAACCCAGGGAAACUUGGGCUAAUACCGGAUGUGAGCAACUUUUAGUUGUUUGAAAGGUGGCGUAAGCUGUCGCUUGGGGAUGAGCCUGCGUCCUAUUAGUUAGUUGGUGAGGUAACGGCUCACCUAGGCAAUGAUAGGUAGGCGGCCUUAACGGGUGGUCGCCCACACUGGGAUUGAGAUACGGCCCAGACUCCUACGGGAGGCAGCAGUCGAGAAUAGUCUACAAUGGUCGGAAGACUGAUAGUGCGACGCCGCGUGAACGAUGAAUCCCUUCGGGGUGUAAAGUUCUUUUAUAUGUGAGCAGUGCUUCUUAUAUUAACAGUAAUGGGGAAGAGAUAUUAGCAUAUGAAUAAGCAACGGCUAACUCCGUGCCAGCAGCCGCGGU
rnacentral:rRNA from 1 species